GUCUCCACUUGACGACAAUUGAUGCAAUUCUCUUUAAACAAACAACAAGCCGCGCGUCAUGUUGCGCGUCAGCUGGCAACAUCGCGCGCUGUUGUGCAGCGUUGCCGUACAUGUUGAGCGUCACGUGUCGCGCGCUAAAUGUUGCCUAAGGCAAGGUUGCAUUAUACGC